AAGCUCCCCUGCUGGAGAGCCAGACGCUGGCAGUAAGACACAGCCCAUCCAGCUCAGCCUUUCACCACUACAGAAGUCCUUCUGAGCCUUACUAGCGUUAAAGUAGGUCGCACACUGAUAACAAAGGUUAAGGCAAUAAUCUCUUUCCCUUUGCAGAUAAGGACUUGAAAACUGCCUUUGCAGUCUCUCUCUCCUGCGCCGCACAGAGACAUUUCUGCAGCCUGCGAUUUCUCUUGGUUUAAGCAGUAUUUAUCAAAUGGAAACAUAUGUAUACAGUAGAUUGUAUUCAGAAAUGCAGUUCACUUUUACAAUUCUUAUCAACACAGGAUGCUCAUGAGCACACUUCUGGAAGAAAUUCUUCUGGAAUGAAAUAGCAGGAAACUUGAUCAUGACUCCUUCACUUACUUCCUCCAGGUAAGUUAAUAUUUUCUCUGUUGUUAAGGGAGAAAUAGAACUUAAUAUUCAGCAUAAAAACAGAAAACAGUUCCAAUAGCAGGGGGAAACUCCCUCUUACUCAAAGAUGUAAGGAAACCCAUGAGUUUUGGCUCUUUCUGCCGUAAGCCUAAGGAUCAGUCUGGAUAGAUUUUUGUAAUCUCUCUUAGAGAAUACUUGAAAGAGAUGGAGCAUUGAAUAAAUGCGUAAUUGUUAUUGCAGGAUAAACAAACAGUCAUAGUGAUAGAUUGCAGCAGUUUACAUGACAAGGAGAGAGCUAAAUUACAAUUUAAACAAAUUCUUUAAACUCACUCCUUAAAGGAAAAAAGAAAAUAAAAAGACAGAAAACAUCUUACUCUAAAUUGAAAGUAAAAUUUGUUAAUUAAAAGGAAAAGGAAAUUGGGUAAAAAUGGAAGAACUCAUAAACUGAGCCAGACUUCUGCAUGAAUAUGGGAAAAUUAUAUAUUUAAUUGUUGGUUUACCUUAUUAGAAGACUGCUAUUCAGAACCACACUGUGUAUCUUGUAAAGAUUGCUGUCCCAAUGACUUACAGGAUUAAGACUUCUCAAGUUUCUCCAUUCUUAUCCUUGUGAGUGGUGUGAAUUUUAACAGAAUGAAGAUGUCUCCUCAGAAAACACUGAUUUGUGAGUGGCUGACCUCCUCUGAUCUAAGGUAGCCAGAGGUUACAUCUCUUAGUGUAGUUCAUUUUAGUAAUCACAUAUAUCUUGACCAUAGAUACUAUUUAUUAUAGAUAAAUUAAAAAAAAAAUUGGAAGAUAAAGAGGGCAUUUGAUUGCCUAAAAUGGGCAUUUGCACCCUACAGACUACAGAAUUUCACUAGAAGGUUUGAGAGUCAGAAUCAUUUUUUCUGGUCUAACUAAUGUGGACUAAAUGAUUUGCUCUGGAGAUGUGAAGGACUGGACAAGCGAGGAAACCUUCUGAUAAAGUCUUCUGUAGUUCACUAUUUCCCAUUUGCAGAUUGAUUUUAAAACUCAAAUAGAAUCACUGUUUGAUGACAGAUGGAAAUAAUACUGUUUAUUAUUUUUGUUGGGUUUUUUGUUUGCUUACUUGUUGGUUUGUUUUUAGCCUCUGGCUCCCAAACAAGUCUGCGAAAUGAUAUUGAGGACUCUCAGGGCCAGUCUGACAGCUGAAGGACAGACCUCUUUAAUAAAUGGUGAAGAAAUGUUAUAGAUCAAUUCUAACCACUAUUAUUUCUGUCAGACCUUAUUUUGAGUUGUGCCUCAUCUUUCUUUUGAGUCUUUAAAUGUCACAGGGUUUUGCAUAAUUACACGUAUUUCUCAUACCACAUUUUUAUGUUGUAGUAAGACCUUGAUAUUUCAGCUAGCACAAUACCCAGAAGGGUAGGUGCUGUAUGGUAGGUAUAGUGCUAUAUUAAUAUUAACACCUGCAUCAAAGUUCCCUGAGGGACCUGUUUUGACAGUCAAAAAAUUAUAUCAGAAAUAUGGCUUGCAUGAUUCUUUUUAAACUGUAGUUUAUAAUCAAGUUCACUUCAGCCCUGCUUUCUAAACUAACAAUGGAUUGCAAUGAAAGUUCAUAUAAGGUCACCUGUUAUAAGAAGUCAGUCCUAAACACCACAGUCUUUGAAAAAUGUUGUAGGUGCAUGAUCCAGUGUAACAAAUUCCAGCUCUGUCUUUUUUUUAUAUACCUGUCUAAACCAAUUACUUGGUGUAAAAGGUCAUCAGUAAAGAAACCUUUACUUGUGACUUUUGUCAUGUUUGAUUUAGGUUUAUAUAUAAACAUGAGAGUUCAGAGGGAAAACCACACUUCUCCUCUCUGACUUUCAGGUACAAUCUGAUUUAUAAAACUUAAUGUGGAUUUAUUUUUGUCUUGCAACUGCAAUUUAACUUGAACAACAAUCAUAUAAAUACAGAAAAUGCUCAAGGUCUAUAUUUCGGACACCAUGUAUCUGGAAUGAUACAGAGAUGCUUCUGAGGUGCAGGGAUUCUUCUGUUGUAGGUUGACACAGCGCUGGCUCACCAGGUGCUCACCAAACCAUUUUAUUACUUUCCUUUCUCAGCAGGACACAGUGGGGGAGAAAAUAAGAUGGAAAAACAUCAUGGUUCAGGAUAAAGGCAGUGAAAUAAAGCAAAAGCAAGGAUUGUGUGCAUAGAAACAAAGAAAAACAAAUAUUUUAAUCUCUAUUUCCCAUCACUGAGUUAUGUCUGGCUACUUCCCUUGAGUUUGCUCCUGAAGACAAACAUCAGAACUUCUGGAGACCCUGAGCAUCUCAUUUUGCUGUGUAACUGUCUGGGGUGCAGGGAUGCAGUCUUGGCGCUGUUUAUUCUAUACCACACAUCACUGGAGAGCUGGGAGCAGUUUUCAGCAGGGAAUUCUGAGGCGUCAGGAGUGGAACAUUUUUCUUGCCCAGUCAUGGGAAGGAGUCGUGUUGCCGCUUUUAAAAGCCAUGGAGGGGUCCUUUUUCUUUUGCUGGGAUCACUUGGGAGCAGGAGUCACCCUGCAAGUCCCCACCCACAGCCACCACCUGAGAUUACUGCUGACGGGGACAGCCCCUGCCAGGUGACAUGCAACAAGCAGCUCAGCAGCAAAACCCCGUCCAGGGAAAAUAGCUUUCCAGGUUCUCUUUGCCCCUGUUUCCCCUGGUUUCCUGACUGGGUGAAGGUGUUUAACCAUGGAAAAUCAUUUGCAACAUUGUCUCCUAAUUAAUUCUUUUCCUUCAGUUGUUCUCUGGAGCUGCAUGGCAUAGCGAGGGUCCCUGCUGCUGAUGCCUCAGGUGUUAGUUUUUAUAUUUUUCAUAUUCUAUGCUGCUUUAGUGUGUGGGUCUGGGCUUCAUAGAAGGGGAUAGUAAGCUCUCUUCCCAAAGUAGGUGGACAAAACAAUUCCUUCUCUAGCUGGGGACCCAAGGACAGCCGACCCAGAUCUCAGGCCCAAGAGCAUAAACAACAGUGGACCAAACAGAGAAAACAAGAAGGAUGGUACUUCAUGGGCUAAAGCUGUAAUUGGAGAAUUAACUCCAAUAUGCUAAUGGACCAGAACUUAUAAAAGUGUGAGACCCCGUGACCUGCUGCCCAUUUUGUGUCUAUUUUGAGUUCACCUGGGGUGUAGCCCUGGCUAGGCUCUUGUGCUGCCCAAGGUGGAUCUACUGAGGCCACUUAAUAAAUACCUACUUUAUUCUUUAGCUUGAUCUAGUCCCUGUUUUACAUCAGCCUUCACAAGUGAACACCCUUUUUAUGGGUAAACCAUCCUCUCUGUUGCUCAAUCUUUUAUUAAUAGCGUUGUAUUCAUCAAGAUUUCUUCAGUUAAUUGUGACUCCAAUUUAUAAGUUCUCCUAGUAGGUUUCCUCUACUAUCAAAAGGGGGUGAUGUGAGUGAAUUUCAUUUUCCCACUGAGUUUUAAAAGAAAAACAAGAACAUAACAGCAUUACCAAAUGUUUUAAUUAAAUUUUAUAUAAGUGGUUUUUAAUCUGUAAUUUACUUGCUUUAUACUUGCCCAGAACUUGAUACAACUUCCUGGGGAAAAAAAUAAAAGAAGCUUAUGACAAAAUAGCUGUGCCUUGCUUGCAUAAAAUGCAGAAAUAAAAUCAACAGCACCAUUAACACUUGAAGAGAAGAUUGUGCAUUUCAAAAUUCCCCUUACAUACACACACUAUAACUGAUGUUUUUACCUCAUUUCCAAGGAGAAAGAGAUAAAGGAGCUGUCAGACCUCUUUACAAACCUCAUCUACCUGCCAUGGUCAACUGUAUGAUUUGGGCCUGUGGUGCAGCACCAUAACUUCCUUUCAAGUUUCUGGGGAAAAAGAAAAAAAAGUAUUGUUGUGUAGUGUUUAAUAAGUAUGCCUGCCUUCUCAGUUCAGUUCUUUUUGUACGCCUACCCUUUUCUGCCCUGUCAGACAAUUGGCCUGACACAAGACUUUUGGGGAGGCCACAAAGCAGGGAGAAGAAAAUGAACACUACCUCAGGCCCAUCAAGGCUGUCCUUGAAAAGGAUGCAAGGCUGUCCUUGAACAGGA